UACGGAGGGGGCUAGCGUUGUUCGGAAUUACUGGGCGUAAAGCGCACGUAGGCGGCUUUGUAAGUCAGAGGUGAAAUCCCGGGGCUCAACCCCGGAACUGCCUUUGAGACUGCAUCGCUUGAAUCCAGGAGAGGUGAGUGGAAUUCCGAGUGUAGAGGUGAAAUUCGUAGAUAUUCGGAAGAACACCAGUGGCGAAGGCGGCUCACUGGACUGGUAUUGACGCUGAGACGCGAAAGCGUGGGGAGCAAACAGG
rnacentral:rRNA from 1 species